rnacentral:rRNA from 1 species
ACAUUCAAAGAGUGCGUAAUAGCUCACUAGUCGAGAGGUCCUGCGCCGAAAAUGUCCGGGGCUAAAACACACUGCCGAAGCUUUGGAAUUGAGAAUUCAAUUGGUAGAGGAGCAUUCUUAAAGGGACGAAGCAGUACCGUAAGGAGCUGUGGACUUUUAAGAAGAGAGAAUGCCGGAAUGAGUAGCGAGAGGAAGGUGGGAAUCCUUCCGGCCGAAUAUCUAAGGUUUCCAGAGUAAAGCUGAUCUGCUCUGGGUAAGUCGGGGCCUAAGGCGAGGUCGAAAGACGUAGUCGAUGGAUAACAGGUUGAAAUUCCUGUACUAUCCUGUAACAGAACUGUGGGGACACAGGCAGAGAGCGUGAGCCGGGAAUGGAAAGACCGGUACAAGCGAGGUAGGAGAAGAGUUGGCAAAUCCGCUCUUUAAUCUGAAGACGUGAUGUGGACUGAAAAUAAGUAGGGAAGCACGUGAGCUGACUGUCAAGAAAAGCCGCUAUUGUUUGCAGGAUACCCGUACCGUAAACCGACACAGGUGGAUGAGGAGAGAAUCCUAAGGCCGACGGGAGAAGCAUUGUUAAGGAACUCGGCAAAAUGACUCCGUAACUUCGGGAGAAGGAGUGCCAUGCGAAUGGCCGCAGAGAAUUGGCCCAAGCAACUGUUUAGCAAAAACACAGGUCUAUGCAAAACCGAAAGGUGAGGUAUAUGGGCUGACGCCUGCCCGGUGCUGGAAGGUUAAGGGGAGAGGUUAGCGCAAGCGAAGCUUUGAACUUAAGCCCCAGUAAACGGCGGCCGUAACUAUAACGGUCCUAAGGUAGCGAAAUUCCUUGUCGGGUAAGUUCCGACCCGCACGAAAGGCGUAAUGAUUUGGGCACUGUCUCAACAAUGCACCCGGUGAAAUUGAAAUACCAGUGAAGAUGCUGGUUACCUGCGCCAGGACGGAAAGACCCCAUGGAGCUUUACUCCAGCUUGAUACUGGGAUUCGGUAUUGCAUGUACAGGAUAGGUGGGAGGCUAGGAAAUGGUAACGCCAGUUGCCAUGGAGCCGCUGUUGGGAUACCACCCUUGCAGUACUGGGUUUCUAACCAGCAGCCGUGAUCCGGCUGGGGGACAAUGUCAGGUGGGGAGU